rnacentral:lncRNA from 1 species
AAAAUCCCCAAAUAUUGUUUAUAAAUGUUUAUUUCCAUUUAAAUGGGGUUGAUUAUAGAUGGUAAUGAUUACAGUCAAUCUCUUUUUAAAGAGAAUGAUGAAUUCUCUUCAGUAGCAUUGGUUUUUGUUGUUGUUGUUGUUGUUGUUGUUUUCCUUUGCUUUGCUGAGAUAGUUAGAGGCCUAGAGAGCAUUUCUUUAACAGACAUCCUUAUGUAUCAUGAGCAUCAAAUACCAUUUCCUGAGAAAGUCAUCAAACUUACACCUGAUUAUGUGUCUUCCCAGUCCACUGCAGAGAUCUCAGACUGACUCAAUAGCUCCCACCAUCCUUUAAAAGCCAGCACAGAAGUGAUUCUCAGUUACUUCCACACCUCUCAUGGCAGUAACGAUGUACAGACCAGGCUGUAAAGCACUGUGAAUGAGGUGGGUCCACAGCAGUUAUAAAAUUGCCCUGUGAGCUGGUUCUGCACUGGGGGGUCAUUAAGGUUCCCAUUUCAAGAACAUCCCUCGCCCUCUGGCCACAUCGGGAUAAACACAGCAUUCUCCAUGGGCUCUAUCUCUCUGCCCAGCUGUGACUUAAAGAGUUUAUUUCUAGGUACUCCAGGCAUUUCAUUGCAGCCCACUUCCACCUCCACCCUCAGCUGACAACCGGAGACACUCAGUAAUUAUCAGCAGUCUUCACUUGCAAUGAUUCUCUACCACACUAAAUACAAAUACGGAUAGUGUGGGCACAAAAUCCUCUGUAAAUUCUGAUACUGGGAAACUAAGUAGUUCUGUAGAAAAUGGUUGGAUUAAGAGAUUUUUUCAAGAAUUGAGGCCAUAGUGUUGAAUAACUUUUGGGGGUAACCUAUGCAUAAAUCCUGGGACUGUUCAUUUUGAGAGACAUUACAAACCUUAGCUGCUGACUUGUCUUAGUUAGGGUUUCUAUUGCUGUAAAGAGACACCAUGACCACAGCAACUCUUCUAAAGGAAAACAUUUAAUUGGGGCUGGCUUCCAGAUUCAGAGGCUUAGUCCAUAUUGUUACAGUGAGAAGCAUGGCAGCAUGCAGGCAGACAUGGUGCUGGAGAGGUGUCUGAGAGUUCUACAUCUUGAUUCACAGGAAGCAGGAAGAGACUAUGAGCCACAGUGUAACUUGAGUAUAUGGGACCUCAAAAACUGUCCCACAGUGACACACUUCUUCCAACAAGGCCACACCUACAUCAAUAAGGCCAUACUCCCUAAUACUGCCACUCCCUAUGGGCCAAGUAUUCAAACAUAUGAAUCUACAUGGCCAUUCCUAUCGAAACCACCAUAUUCCACUUUCUGGCACCCCUAGGCUUGUAGCCAUACCAUAAUACGGAAAUGCAUUCAGUCUAACUUCACAAGUCUGCACAGUCUAUAAUUGUCUCAAAUUUGCUUAAAAUUCCAAAGUUCAAAGUCUCUUCUGAGACUCGUGCAAUCUCUUAACUGUAAUCCCCUGCAAAACAAUGAAGAAGCAGAUCACAUACUUCCAACAUUUAAUGGCACAGGAUAUACAUUAUUGUUCCAAAAUGGAGAAAAGGGAGCAUAGUGAAAUAUUGGCCACAACACACACUAUCCACACAGACACUCUGCAACCCAGACAGGUACAGGUAGCAUCAUGAACACCCCAAGGUAUUCUUUCUCCAGAGAGAAGGAACAAGAAGAACCACUGGAAAAGCAGCAGAUCUGGAGAGGAAGAAAGUGUCAGGUUGCUAGGAACCUGGCCUAUCUGGCUGAUGGAUAUGGAAUCUUCUUAUGAUGGGAAAGGCCAGGUUAAAUAUCCCUUUCUGGGGAUAUUCUUCAGGCAGUAGGCUAGAAGAAAAACAAAAUUAACCAAGAUUUCUUGAAUACAGCAGUAUGUUUUAUGAAGCAGUUGUCCUUGUUUGUAGGUGAAGCAAAGCCUUGAUGUUUGCAGGCACCCUGUGAUCCAGGUAGUAUUUACUCUUAGCUGGAAGCAACAAUAUACUAAAGGCAGAAUCAGCCAUUGUGUGCUGAGAGCAUGGGCACAGUCCUUCAAGAAGCGGGAAAGUGGGGAGCAUCGAGUGACCAAACCAAUGGUAGACAGGACAUGGAGCCCAGUUCUGAACACAUUGGAUGAUUGGGACCACUUCCUGGUUGGCCUUUGCUACACAGAGUAGCAGGAGUUGAUUAUAUUGGUUACAUUUUUCAUUGUUACGACAAAAAUACCUGACUAAAACAAUUUAAAGAAAAGAUGAGUUUAAUUAAGUUUUCAGUUUGAGUAGAGAUAUAGUCCAUCAUUGCAGGGAAGUCAUGAUGGCAGGACCACGAGGGGACUAGUCACACAGUGUCUACUGUUAGGAAACAAAGUGAUGACUUCUGGUCACCAACUGAUUUCCCUAUUUUCCCCCAUUAUAUUCAGUCUAGAACCUCAGCCCAUGGCAUGGUGGCACCCACAUUUAGCAUGGACCUUCCCUCUUAAGAUAGUUCAGUCUUGCCAGGCAUUGGUGGCACACGCCUUUAAUCCCAGCACUUGGGAGGCAGAGGCAGGCGGAUCUCUCUGAGUUUGAGACCAGCUUGGUCUACAAGAGCUAGUUCCAGGGCAGCCUCCAAAGCCACAGAGAAACCCUGUCUCGAAAAACAAAAAACAAAACAAAACAAAACAAAAACAAAAAAGAUAGUUCAAUCUUUCUGGAAACACUGCAUCUAUAUGGCCCCAACACUUGUUUUCAGAGUGAUUCUAAUCACUGGAGACCUUGCUUUACUAAAUAUUUUCAGCACCAGACAGGGUGCAGUGGGGCAGGGCCUCCUCACUCACCCAUGUCCGAGGUGUCAUUUUGGAAGGUUGAUGGCUGGGUGUUAGAAUCAUGUGGCAACAUUUUCAAACACAAGUCUGGUGAUGGGAGAAGACCUUUAUGUUUCUCUUAUUGGUUGAUGAAUAAAACACUGUUGGCCAAUAAGGCAUGAAAAUAGGUGGAACUAGGAGGACGAGAAUUCUGGGAAAGUCAAGCAGAGUGAGCCCGCUACACAGUCUCGAUGCUGCUGAAGAAGUAACACCAUGCCGGGCAUUACCGGGUAAGCCACAGCCUCGUAGUAAUACAUAGAUUGAUAGAAAUGGGUUAAUAAUUAAGACAGAGGUAGCCAAUAAGAAGCCCAAGCCACUGGCCAACAGUUUCAUAAUUAAUAUAGCAUCUGUGUGUUUAUUUGGGGGAUCACGAGGCUGUGGGACCAGGCUGACAGGAAGAACCAUCCAAAUAGCUUUUAUUUGAAGUCUGAGCCUAUCCAUGUGGUCUACCCAUGUGUCAAUCCCAGGCCAUGGAAUGAUUUCAGUGGAAGAUUAGGCUCCAAGAAGCCAGUCCAGUCUCUAUGCUCAUUCAACCUGGAGCUGAGUUUUACUUCCAUCAUUUGGAGUAGUCUGUCUGGGAAACUGUGUUCACCUGGCUCAACUUCCUUGACCUUAAGAUCCUUCCGUUUUAAAUCCAGACUUCAGUUUAUUGAGGUGUCACUUAGAGUCACUCCUUGUAAGUGGUAGAUUUUGACGAACAUACCCAUCAACACAGCGUAACUACAGCCCUUGCAUUUUCUGCUCAGAAUAACGUUUUCCCAUUCCUAUUAUUUUGAAGUUUCCAGAUCCUCAUUUAUGAAACAAGGCUGACUUUUUUCAUACUCCUGAGUACAGCCAACAUGUUAAAAUGUAAGGUUUUAAUUGUGAUAAAAUUCACAACUUUCUUCUUUUACGAAUUAUACAUUUGGUGUCUUUUCUACAAAAUCUUUUGUUAGACAAAAGAUCACAAAUUCUUUCUCUUAAGUUCUUUUUCAGAUUUUUCUUUGCUUUAAUUUUAUUUUGAAACUCAUUUGUGUGAGUGUACCUGUCACAGUGUGUGUGGAGGUCAGAGACAACUUUCAUGAGUUGUGUUACCCACACCAGCCUAUAAAUUUGUUGAAGUGAAUUGAAUCUCUCAGAAUACAUGGGUGUAUUAAAGCCACAUCAAGAAACCCAGGUCCCGAUAUGUAGUUGACACAAUGCACCAAGGGAAGGGUGUAACUCCCUCACCUGCACCCAGGAAGAAAUGCACCGCUAGUACUACGAUGGCAGCUGCCCCCAGUGACGGAUCAUCUGACCUCCUGGGUGUGAGUCGAGGGAUCAACAGGCAGAGAAUUCCCAGCAGUCACAAGGGCUUCCACAUGACUUUGUUCCGAAAGUUGAUGUGGUCUGUCCACUGCUUUGUCCAUCCUCCUGCUUAUCUGUGUGGACCUGUCUGGACUCAUUUGUCUCUAGACCCAGCCUCACCUUUCACUUCCCCAAUAGGAUUCAACUUCACAGCUCAACCAGCAGUCCGUAUGUGACUCUAAGGUAGCUAUGACUGUUUCUCCAGCUGCUGCGGUCAGCUAUCUCACCCAUCUGGCCCUAUCUGCAUGUCUAUCACUUUCCCUGUUUCUUGGGACUUCAGAAACCUCUUAAACUCUGCUGCAGUCUCAGAACUCUUUGUAGUCAGUCACUUUGUCACUAUAUAUAUAUAUAUAUAUAUAUAUAUAUAUAUAUAUAUUGUGAAAUAUGUAAUGUGUGACCUGAGAGUUAAUAUUAGUAAUUAAGUUUUCAUUAUUGUUAGUUUUAGACAAGUUAAUAUACUCUUAUACAUACCUGGGAAGAGAGAAUCACAAAUGAGUAAUUGUCUCUGUCAGAUUGGCCUGUGGGUAUGCCUGUGUGGCAUUUUCUUGAUUGCUGCUUGGUGUAGAGGGGCCCAGACCUACCAUGGGGCAGUGCCAAACCUGGGCAGGUGGUCUUGGGUUCUAUGAGAAAACAAGCUGAGCAAGCCACAAAUAAGCAAACUAAUAAACAAAUUUCCUGCAGGGCCUCUGCUUCAGUUUCUGCCAUUGUGUCCCUGCCUUGAGUUCCUGCCCUGACUUCCCUCAGUGUAGACUGUGAUGGGAAAAUAAUGUGUAAUGAUAUGUAAGGUGAAUAAACCUUUUCCUCCCCAAAUUGCUUUUUAGUCAAGAUGUUUUAUCACAGCAGAAGAAAACAGGACAGAUUGAAAUUCUAAACACCCUGUUUGCCUCGACAUAUUGUCAAGGAAAAACAGACCAUGUGGCAAAUUGCUGUCAAAAAAAAAAUCAUCGACCCUUGCAAAUUUGUUAUGCAAUAAAUUCUGACACUGUGGGAUGACACGAACAUGUUCAUCUGUGUUUCUGGCAUAGUAGUUGCAUGACCUUCAGUGCACAUAUUUAUUUCAAAAUCUGACAAAAUGGCAAUUAUGUGCCCAAAGAACUGUGUGUUAGCCAUUCCCCAGGGACACUGUCACUGCAGCAUGGGAGAGUCCUGUGAGUGAACAGCCCCCUUCAGAGUUACAAGGUUAGUGAUGCUGCUUCUACUAGGGGCUAUUUUCAGCUGCUCAGUAUCUGGCCAGCAGAACCCAAAGCCCCUGAGCACGGAUGCAGUCUUUUGAGUAGCCUCCACUGAAUAAGUGUUUGUGGAAUGGAUGAGUGGAGGUCCCACAGGGCCAUGCAUUUAUCAUUGUGCUCAGAAUCUUGCACUAGCUCAUUCCUUAUCCUGCCUUUGCAGACACUGUUUCAAUGGGGAAAAUAAGCCUUCAGCCAGGAGGCACCAUUAUCUCCCUUGCUUCAUCCAACCUCUGCUGUGAAAGGCACAGAGCUAAGAAGAAGCAUGCAGCAUCUUUCUGCACAGGAUUUGGGCCCUUUCAGUGUUGUGUUGUUGAAGUGUCUGCAUGCCAGAUAAUGUGGUUAGUCAAUGAGCUUCUAGACACAUCUAUGGUGUCCUUCAGGCUUAAGGGAAGCAGUUGAAGGUUGCUUACCAAAAUUACUCAUACAUUCUGAUACUUAAUACCCAAAUGAAACUCUGGCAGGUACCUGCUCCUGUUUAUUGUGAGAAUCCAUUGGCCCCCUGAACACACCUGAGCUUUGGCAUUCUCUAGCUACCCCGCUAUUUAUUCUUAGAAGUUAUCUGGAGGCUGGAAUGGAGUCAUGACAGAAUAUGGUCCAAUACAAGAGGCAGCCUGUAUUGUUUGCACAAGGAAGAGCAUCGUUAUUUCAAGGCAUCAGAAUACUUAUAGUCCACAGCACCUCAAUGUGCCAGCCUGUGAGGAGGCCAGGUCUCUUCUGGACAGUUGGCCACAGUCUCUGGACUCUGGGAAAAUGUAGAGAAUGACAUCUUUCUCUGUGCCUGACCCAUGAUUCAACUGUAAUCUUAGGGCAGGUACCUUAGCCUAUGUAGCGCCAACAAGGCAGACUCAACCACCUCUUGAAUAUACUAGUUUAAAAAGGAAGUAAUGAUGAAAACCAGAGAGUGGAGAAUCAGUCAGUGGGGCCAACUGAGAAGAACAGAUGAAGGAGCCCAGAGACUAAGUUUAUCUUUGGGGUACAGACACGAGCUUAGGCUUAAACAUAGAAAGAACUGGAGUAUACAUUAGUCAUCCUGGACAAAGCGUGGUUCUAUUCAUCAGUAUCUCAGCCACCAUCUUGCAAGCUUGAGUGUUCAUGUCUGUCAUCCUCUGAGAGUGAUGCUUGUGUAGAGCUCAUCAUCUUCAUCACAGAUCACUGCUCUCAUCCUAGGGGUCUAUCCUGACCUUCCUCACGUAGAGGUGGCUUCAGUCCUUUGUCACAAAGAUGUUGAUUGACCUAUCCUUCUGUUCUUGGAACCCGAGCUGUCUCAAGAGCUGCAAGCCUACAGUUUUCCAGGAAUUUCACCCAGAAAUCCCAUGUACAGCCACGAACCCUGAACUGGCCUGAAUCGAGGUCCCUAAAGGAUGAAGAAAACUCAUCAGGCUGUCAAGAGUGACUUUGGGGUAACCUGAAUCCAUCUUUGAGUUCCAUCUGUUGCAGAUUUGGAAAUAUGGAAGGUGUUUGGGGAAACGCCGAAGAGCAUGUGUCUUGGAACAGCAGAGUCCUCCUUGCUCAUAGCCUCUCUGGGAUCACCCUAUUUUCCUCCCAGCAUCCUUUGCAUCUUCUACAGCUGUUUUCUAUUUAAUCUGGUGUUUGCCAUUGUUGUCCACAGAAUGGUUUGCCAACACAAGCUGUUCCCCUAUUGGAGACUGGAACCUAUGAUUUAAUUCAAAAGACAGAUGGAGCUCAGACUCUACAUCAGAGUCUUAACUGAGACCAUCUGGGUGUGCAUCCCUGCCUGCCAUGCUUGGCUCUGAGGUCCUGGCCACUCUUUCUUAAUUCUGAUAUCCUCAGCUGCAAAAUAGAGGGAUGGUUAUCUGGAAGACACAAAAGUCUCCCCGAAGAUGGAGUAAAUGGGUGCAUGUGCAUCUCCUAGGGUACAUCUCCUAGGAUGGCAGUGCUGCAUUGGUGACUAACUCCUGCCCAUCACCAUCCCUGGGGCAAGCUCUUCUUUUCUACUACAAACAAAAAACAACAGCAAAGCCUGUCUCUGUCUUUACCUGCUCUUCUAACUGAAUUCUGGAACAAGAGACUGGUUAAUUAUCACAUUAAAGUUAUUCCUAUCCCAACACACUGCACUGCAGAUAAAUGAGUGUGUAUGCAUGCAUGCAUGCUUGUGUGUUUAUUUAAUUAUACAUAUAUACACAUACAUACUUAUGUAUACAUGUAUGUGUGUGGGGUGUGUGUGUGUGUGUGUGUG